rnacentral:rRNA from 1 species
AGCAGCCGCGGUAAUUCCAGCUCCAAUAGCGUAUAUUAAAGUUGUUGCAGUUAAAAAGCUCGUAGUUAAAUUUCGGGAUCAGUAGGUUGGUCGUGCCAAUGGUAUGCACUGGUCUCACUGGUUCCUCCUUCUUGUAGAACCGUAAUGCCAUUAAGUUGGUGUUGCGGGGAAACAGGACUGUUACUUUGAAAAAAUUAGAGUGUUUAAAGCAGGCUAACGCUUGAAUACAUUAGCAUGGAAUAAUGAAAUAGGACGAUCGAUCCUAUUUUGUUGGUUUCUAGGAUUGACGUAAUGAUUAAUAGGGAUAGUUGGGGGCAUUAGUAUUCAAUUGUCAGAGGUGAAAUUCUUGGAUUUAUUGAAGACUGACUACUGCGAAAGCAUUUGCCAAGGAUGUUUUCAUUAAUCAAGAACGAAAGUUAGGGGAUCGAAGACGAUCAGAUACCGUCGUAGUCUUAACCAUAAACUAUGCCGACUAGGGAUCGGAUGAUGUUAAUUUUUUAAUGACUCAUUCGGCGCCUUA